GGAUUGCCUCAGUAACGGCGAGUGAAGCGGCAACAGCUCAAAUUUGAAAUCUGGCUCUUUCAGGGUCCGAGUUGUAAUUUGUAGAAGAUGCUUCGGGUGUGGUCCCGGUCUAAGUUCCUUGGAACAGGACGUCAUAGAGGGUGAGAAUCCCGUAUGUGACUGGGUGCCUAUGCUCAUGUGAAGCUCUUUCGACGAGUCGAGUUGUUUGGGAAUGCAGCUCAAAAUGGGUGGUAAAUUUCAUCUAAAGCUAAAUAUUGGCCAGAGACCGAUAGCGCACAAGUAGAGUGAUCGAAAGAUGAAAAGCACUUUGGAAAGAGAGUUAAACAGUACGUGAAAUUGUUGAAAGGGAAGCGCUUGCAACCAGACUUGCACGCUGCUGAUCAUCCGGUGUUCUCACCGGUGCACUCGGUAGUGUUCAGGCCAGCAUCGUUUUUGGUGGUUGGAUAAAGGCCUUGGGAAUGUAGCUUCUUUCGGGGAGUGUUAUAGCCCUCGGUGCAAUGCAGCCUACUGGGAACGAGGACCGCGCUUCGGCUAGGAUGCUGGCGUAAUGGUUGUAAGCGACCCGUCUUGAAACACGGACCAAGGAGUCUAACAUCUAUGCGAGUGUUUGGGUGUCAAACCCAUACGCGUAAUGAAAGUGAACGGAGGUGAGAACCCUUAAGGGUGCAUCAUCGACCGAUCCUGAUGUCUUCGGAUGGAUUUGAGUAAGAGCAUAGCUGUUGGGACCCGAAAGAUGGUGAACUAUGCCUGAAUAGGGUGAAGCCAGAGGAAACUCUGGUGGAGGCUCGCAGCGGUUCUGACGUGCAAAUCGAUCGUCAAAUUUGGGUAUAGGGGCGAAAGACUAAUCGAACCAUUGGGAACAGUUGCUAGGUGGUUAAGAGGCAGCUCAAAGUGCUGUCUAGUGGUAUUCGCGCUGCAACACUGUCAAAUUGCGGGGACGUCCAACGAUGAAGUGUAACUACCGCAGCCACGCUGAAAGGCGUGGUGCGCACCGGGGUAAUGACCUAGGGGAUGGUAAAAACGUUACAUGGAGGGAUAAUCCGCAGCCAAGCCCUGUCAAAUGGGUGCAGUUC
rnacentral:rRNA from 1 species